CCGCGUAUUGCCCCACAGAUGACGCCACGCAGCGAGCAGACAGCCCGCAGCGUUGCGGGCUGCCCCAGCCGCCCCCACGGCCACGCAUGCGCAGCCGCCUCUUGUGGGCCGCCGCGGGCAGCGCAUGCGUAGCGGCCGGGGCGGGUGCGGGACUGCGAGCAGGCGGGCGGAGGCGGCACGAUCAUAGAGUCAACCAGAUUGGAAGAGACCUCCAAGAUCAUCCAGACCAUGUCCUGUAGCAUGGCAGAUGAAGAAGAUUUCUUUAUGGAAGAAAAAAGAUUCAGGCAGCACUGUGAAGAAUUUAUUAAACAUUCUCAGCUAAUAGGAGAUGGUUGGGAGUGGAGAACUAGCAAGGAGCUUGGUGAUGGUUACCUUAGUAAAACACACUUCCAAGUCAGAAAUAGAAACAUCCCACCAGAUCUCAAGGAGAAAGACAAUGAUAAUGUUGAACAAACCUUGUUUUCACACAUUGAAGAGUCUUUGGAAGAUUCUCAGGGACCUGGAGUCUGUGCAACAGAAGAAGUGAUUCGCUAUGAGUAUCAUGUUCUGUACUCCAGCAGCUAUCAAGUACCUGUGCUUUAUUUUAGGGCAUGCUGUUUAGAUGGAAGACCUUUAACUCUGGAUGAAAUAUGGAAGAGUGUUCAUGCAUGCUACCAGGCUCGUCUGCUGGAGGGGCCAUGGGACACUAUUACACAGCAGGAGCACCCCUUACUUGGACAGCCAUUUUUUGUUCUGCACCCCUGCCGGACUAAAGAAUUCAUGUCUUCUAUACUGACCAAUUCACAGAAAGACAAGAGACACAGAAAUUACAUUAUAUUGUGGCUCAGUACUGUAGGCCCAGUUGUGGGUCUGAAUCUACCUCUAAGUUAUGCAAAAGUAACAAAUGGUGAUUGAGUUGAAAGCUCAGACCUCUGAGAUGAAGGACAGAUGAUGGUUAGCUGUAAUAAAGCUGCUGCAGACUUUCCUAGGAAUUAAAUCAAACAAUGGAAUUCUACCCAACUGGAAAAGCAAAUGAAAAUAAGAGAACCAAUAGGACUGAAUUUUCUGGAAGAACAAACCCAAAGCUGUCGAGGUCCAGAGGCUGGCGAGAGGUGAGAUCGGGGCACUGAAGAGUUGACUCAGCAGCUUGCUAUGCAUUAGUACAAUUUUAUUAGGGUAGUGCAGUGUCUUAUAUAGUGCUCAGAGGAGGUGUAUCCAGCCAGCCUGGGGCUGGCACAAGUGGACAGUACAGAUUGGCCCAAAGCCACGUGCAAGGCGCAGGUAGGUUUACCCUGUGCCAAACAACCUGUGGUUCCCACCCCAGGGGGCUGGCAGGCUCAGCCCCCUGGAGCUGUGUCCGCCCCAGGGGCCGGCAGGUCCAACCCUCUGCAGGUGUGCGUGGGUUGCUCACAGUCCAUAGCCUAGCUUCCUUGGAGCCUGCGAGACUCCAAGGACAUCUCCCAUCACAAGGUCUCAAGUUGCUGAUUUCUUUAGCUGAAAUAAUCUGUCUCCUGUAGAAGUGGAACUGGAAUCCUAGCACCAGCACUUAUGUAGAAAAACAUUUGCAUACAUAAAAUCUGAUUUCUGGAUUGAAGUAGCUGAUUGGGAUCAGUCACUGGGAACUGCUGUCAGACCUGUGAGUUACAGUCCAAUAUCCAGUAGCUUCCAAUAUUACUGUAAUCAAGGAUCACCUGAAAAAAAAGUUGGAUAUCUUCUAGCUGUUUUCUAUGUAUUUUUUCAUAUGAUUUCUACGACAUGUACCUGCAGUUGAUUUGUUAUGUAUUAUUAGUAAAUAGAGCUGUGGCAGCCAGUGCUGUCAAACCUGGCUGUGUACUCAUAUUGUUCUGCUGCUAAAUGAAGGCUGGAUUUCAGAGACUUCAUAGAAGAAUACAGAACUGUAGAGUCAAAUAAUUGUUUUGGAUAGAAAAGACAUUUUCAGAUCAUUGAGUCCAGCUAUUAUCUAAGCUGUGAAGUCUGUGGCUAAAUGAUGUCCCUCAGCACCACAUCCCACAUGUAGGGGUGGGGAUUCAGCCACCUCCAUGAGGAGCCUGCUCCAGUGUUCAAGAACCCUUUCAGAAAAGAA